GUGCUCACUUCAGCAGCACAUAUACUAAAAUUGGAACAAUACAGAAAAGAUUAUUAGCAUGGUCCCUGUGCAAGGAUGAGACACGCAAAUUUGUGAAGCAUUCCAUAUUUUU
ensembl:snRNA U6 U6 spliceosomal RNA